GGCGCCGGCCUCUAGGGGGCGCCCACCGAGAGGUUUCCCGGUGGGCUGCCCUGCUGUAGCUGUCCGGGGAUGCUGUGCUGGACGAGCGUCUCUUUAGCCACCCCCCAGCGCAGCCACUCACCUGCUGGGCUCCCUCUGCAGCAGAUUACCUGCUUGGGCAGUGGGGUUUGCUGUAACCCGAGCAGAGCACUGUGCUUCCUGCAGGCAGGGGGAGCCUGUGAACACCGGAAGCACUGUGAAGGGAGCAGGAAGCAGGCUGUGCUCAAAGUGCAUGGCUCUCCUGCUCCCCCAGGAGAAAGAGCAACAUCCUGGAUCCUACAGCCUGGACCUCUGCUCAGCAUAGCACCCAGGUAUGGCAUGGUUAAGGGGGAUUGCUUAUUGUGUGCAUGUUUGUAAAUGGGGGAGUGUGUUAAAUUGGUGUGUUUGUGUGUGUAAAUAAAGUGUGACCUUAUGUAAAGUUUGUGUUUGAGUGACAGUGUGUGUGUUAGGGAGAGUGUGCAAGUGACUCUCUGUGUGUGUGUGUGUGUGUGUGUGUGAUAGUGAGAAUGUGCAAGUGACUCUGGGUGUGUGUGUUAGGGAGAGUGUGCAAGUGACACUGUUAGUGAGUAUGUGUUAGGCAAAGUGUACAAGUGACACUGUUAGUGAGUAUGUGUUAGGGAGAGAGUGCAAGUGACAGUUACUGAGAGUGUGCAAGUGACACUGUUAGUGAGCAUGUGUGACACUGUGUAGUGUUAGAGUGUGUAACUGACAAUGUCUAUGCCAGUGAGAGUGUGUAAGUUAGAGUGUGUGUAUAAGUGAGAGUAUGUAGGUGACACUGUGUGUGUUAGUGAGAGUGUGUAAGUGACACUGUGUAUGUUAGUGAGAGUGUGCAAGUGACAAUGUGUAGGUCAGUGAGAAUGUGUAUGUGUUAGUGUGUAAGUUAGAGUUAGAAUGUGUAAGUGUGUAUGCCAGUGAGAGAGUGUGUGUAUUAGUGAGAUUGUGUAAGUGACACUGCAAAAGUAAUUAUUGCAAUUUUUAAGAAACUUCAAUAAUUACCAUUCAGGGUUAACUCCUCAUGGGGACGUCCAGUCACGGAAAUACCACUGUGAGCGCGGCCAUUGAGGAGCUAAGGCGGACCCAAGCCAGCACAAAAGACAUUGGUGCUGGACCCAGGUAAGUGACAGAAGGUGUUUUAACCCCUGCUGCACCACGAGGGGGGAUGCGCUUGACGGAGGGGGAAGCUAUAGUGCCAGGAUAACAAGUUUGUUUUCCUGGCACUAUAGUUUCCCUUUAAUAUCUACUCAGUGCGCAUCUUUCCCUAAAUGUCUCUUUAGUGUAAUUCAGAGUUUAGUGAAUAAACUUCUGAGGGAAUGUAGUUGCAUUCAUAAGGGGGCGUCAAAAUGUAUUCUUGCCUAGGGCAGCAAGAAUCCUUG
rnacentral:lncRNA from 1 species